GACGAACGCUGGCGGCGUGCUUAACACAUGCAAGUCGAACGAUGUACUGGCAGCUUGCUGCUGGGGAUUAGUGGCGAACGGGUGAGUAACACGUGAGUAACCUGCCCUGGACUCUGGGAUAACCCCGAGAAAUCGGAGCUAAUACCGGAUAGGACCCUGUACCGCAUGGUGUGGGGUGGAAAGUUUUUCGGUCUGGGAUGGACUCGCGGCCUAUCAGCUUGUUGGUGAGGUAAUGGCUCACCAAGGCGUCGACGGGUAGCCGGCCUGAGAGGGUGACCGGCCACACUGGGACUGAGACACGGCCCAGACUCCUACGGGAGGCAGCAGUGGGGAAUAUUGCACAAUGGGCGCAAGCCUGAUGCAGCAACGCCGCGUGCGGGAUGACGGCCUUCGGGUUGUAAACCGCUUUUAGUAAGGAAGAAGGGGAGCUUGCUCCUUGACGGUACUUGCAGAAAAAGGACCGGCUAACUACGUGCCAGCAGCCGCGGUAA
rnacentral:rRNA from 1 species